AAGUCGUAACAAGGUAUCCGUAGGUGAACCUGCGGAUGGAUCAUUAUCGAUAUAAUAAUCCUUUACUACCCCCAAACCUUCACAGCUUGUUGCGCUGUUUUUUAGGGUUUGGACAAUUUGAUAUACUCGCAUUUGGCUCUAAGUUUUUGUUAGAGAUGCUACUUAACCAAAUGAGAGGUUAAACUUUGUUUCUCAAAAGGCAUCUAUAUUUUUUUUCUUGAUUUCUGUUUGACUAAUAUUAAACAAACUAAAACAACUCUUAGCAACGGAUGUCUCGGCUCUCA
rnacentral:misc_RNA from 1 species